CUAACAGAUACUACUAAUAAGAAUGGACAGGGUAUAUGUUCCCCCAUAAGUAUUUCUUUUCUUUCCUUCCCUCUUUUUUCUCAUCAUAAUUCUUAUUUUUCUUUUCCUCUUGUUUGGGUCAUCCUCUGACAAUCUCUUACAAUGUGAAUGGUAGUAAACUCUGGUCACCAUUGUGUUUUUUUUCUAUAUACAGCCAUGUCCAAUUGGCCACUGCUGCAAUCCCCAGCCAACAUCUGAUGGUUCUGUUGUCUCCAUCCUGUCCAGUUUCAACUUCCAUCAUAUAAGACCAACUCCCAGUUGACUCAGACUUUCUUACUGAAUGCUGGAGCCCAGUGUUCCCACUGCCCUACCAUUCAAUUAUGCUGUAGGGGGUAUCAGUAUCUUCUUUCAGAUGGAGAAAAUUUAACUCUCUCCUGCCAACUAUUGUUCUUGAUGUUGCUGCCUCCAUCAUGAAGGACGGAUUUCUGGCAUCUCGAAGUGACAACAGAGUGGAGGGGUGAAGACCCAAAUGGUUGGAACAUGACCCUGCACUUCUAGUUUAAAGCAUAUGUAAAAAUAAAUAAAUAAAUAAAUAAAUAAAUAAAUAAAUA
rnacentral:lncRNA from 1 species